GGCGAUUUUCCUCAAUUUCUAAUUUAAGAAACGGUGACCAAAACCGGCCAACUUCCGGUCAAUAUCACCGGAAUUGGACCUCGACCCAAGAGGUAGAAAUGAUCCUCUUCUCGUGGGCUGUUCUCCAAUGUGAGACAUGCUAACUGAAAAGGGUUAUUCCAAUAUUAUUGUGGAAUCUGAUAAAGGUUUCUUGAGGCAGUUGCUGAUCCGAAAAGCUUCUUCCAUCUUAACUGCUAUUGGGUGUAAAACUUUUAUUGGGCUUACAUCUAUAUAGGAGUCCUAAUUGAUUAAGGAUAAAAGAAAGGAAGUAAUAUUUGAUUAUUCCGGAUUACUUAUGGUGAAGUAUAGCAAUAAUUUUUGGGAAUAUCAAUCCUAUUAGUUCAUGGAUUUUAGAGGUGCUAAAGAUCUGUAUUAGGGUUUUCUUUAUGGGCGAGAAACCUAAUACUCUCACCUAUAAAUAUAAGGCUUAGGUCCCACUUUUAUACA